AGAGUUUGAUCCUGGCUCAGGACGAACGCUGGCGGCGUGCUUAAUACAUGCAAGUCGAACGAGGUCCAUCCGAUCUUCGGAUUGGUGAAGACCUAGUGGCGAACGGGUGCGUAACACGUGAGAAACCUGCCCCGGUCUCUGGAAUAACAGUUGGAAACGGCUGCUAAUACCGGAUGCCGUCGGACCAUCGCAUGGUGGACCGACGAAAGGGUUACCGGACCGGGAGGGUCUCGCGGCCUAUCAGCUCGUUGGUGAGGUAACGGCUCACCAAGGCAUCGACGGGUAGCUGGUCUGAGAGGAUGAUCAGCCACACUGGGACUGAGACACGGCCCAGACUCCUACGGGAGGCAGCAGUAGGGAAUAUUGCACAAUGGGCGAAAGCCUGAUGCAGCAACGCCGCGUGCGGGAAGAAGGCCCUAGGGUUGUAAACCGCUUUCAGCAGGGAAGAAAAUGACGGUACCUGCAGAAGAAGGUGCGGCCAACUACGUGCCAGCAGCCGCGGUGACACGUAGGCACCAAGCGUUGUCCGGAUUUAUUGGGCGUAAAGAGCUCGUAGGCGGUUCAGUUAGUCGGGUGUGAAAACUCUGGGCUCAACCCAGAGACGCCACUCGAUACUGCUGUGACUAGAGUGCGGUAGGGGAGCGGGGAAUUCCUAGUGUAGCGGUGAAAUGCGCAGAUAUUAGGAGGAACACCAGUGGCGAAAGCGCCGCUCUGGGCCGUAACUGACGCUGAGGAGCGAAAGCGUGGGUAGCAAACAGGAUUAGAUACCCUGGUAGUCCACGCCGUAAACGUUGGGCACUAGGUGUGGGUCUCAACCAACGAGAUCCGCGCCGUCGCUAACGCAUUAAGUGCCCCGCCUGGGGAGUACGGCCGCAGGCUAAACUCAAGGAUUGACGA
rnacentral:rRNA from 1 species